rnacentral:rRNA from 1 species
UUAAUUCAUGCAUCUUAUUUAAUUUCUGUUGUUGAUUUAUUUAUUUUUAUUUGAUGUUAAGAUUAAGGGGGAUUAGCUCCUUGUUUUAUUUUUAUAAUUGGUUAUUGUUUAAUUUAGUUUUGUGGAUUUUAUGGUGAUUUUCUAUUUGAUUAUGUUAAAAUUUUAUUUGUUAUUUUUUUGAUUUUUUGUUAUUUAAGUUAUUUAUUGAAAUGUUUUCUUUACUUUUAGUUUGUAUAGUAAUUAUUGUGUAAUUAGUAAAUUUUAUUGAUUGUUUUGUUGGAUGAUGGAUGUUAAUUGCUUUUGAGGAAUUCGGCAAAAUUUUAUGUCCGCCUGUUUAACAAAAACAUCUUUUCUUGUUAGUUUUUGAAGUAUGGCCUGCCCACUGACUGUUAGUUGAAGGGCCGCGGUAUUUUGACCGUGCAAAGGUAGCAUAAUCAUUAGUUCUUUAAUUGUGAUCUGGUAUGAAUGGCUUGACGAGACAUGAGCUGUCUUAGAGGUAUUGGUUUGUUGAAUUUGGUUUUUGAGUUAAAAUUCUUAAAUGUUUUUAUGGGACGAGAAGACCCUAUAGAGUUUGACAAUUUUCUUAUUUGUUUAUUGUUUGUUUCUUGUUACAUUGAGUGGGAAUAAUUGUUUUGUUGGGGUGAUGGGAGGAAAAAUAUUUAACUCCUCUUUGUUUUUGUAUAUUUAUGUAUAUUUUUUUGAUCCAUUUAUUUUGAUUAUAAGAUUAAAUUACC